AACGCUAGCUACAGGCUUAACACAUGCAAGUCGAGGGGCAGCGGGAUUGAAGCUUGCUUCAAUUGCCGGCGACCGGCGCACGGGUGAGUAACGCGUAUCCAACCUUCCGUUUACUCAGGGAUAGCCUUUCGAAAGAAAGAUUAAUACCUGAUAGUAUGGUAAGAUUGCAUGGUAAUACCAUUAAAGAUUCAUCGGUAAACGAUGGGGAUGCGUUCCAUUAGGUAGUAGGCGGGGUAACGGCCCACCUAGCCGACGAUGGAUAGGGGUUCUGAGAGGAAGGUCCCCCACAUUGGAACUGAGACACGGUCCAAACUCCUACGGGAGGCAGCAGUGAGGAAUAUUGGUCAAUGGGCGAGAGCCUGAACCAGCCAAGUAGCGUGAAGGAUGAAGGUUCUAUGGAUUGUAAACUUCUUUUAUAAGGGAAUAAACGGCACUACGUGUAGUGUUUUGCAUGUACCUUAUGAAUAAGCAUCGGCUAACUCCGUGCCAGCAGCCGCGGUAAUACGGAGGAUGCGAGCGUUAUCCGGAUUUAUUGGGUUUAAAGGGAGCGUAGACGGGAUGUUAAGUCAGCUGUGAAAGUUUGGGGCUCAACCUUAAAAUUGCAGUUGAAACUGGCGUUCUUGAGUGCGGUAGAGGCAGGCGGAAUUCGUGGUGUAGCGGUGAAAUGCUUAGAUAUCACGAAGAACUCCGAUUG
rnacentral:rRNA from 1 species